AGCAUGGAAUAAUGGAAUAGGACGUGCGGUUCUAUUUUGUUGGUUUCUAGGACCGCCGUAAUGAUUAAUAGGGACAGUCGGGGGCAUCAGUAUUCAAUUGUCAGAGGUGAAAUUCUUGGAUUUAUUGAAGACUAACUACUGCGAAAGCAUUUGCCAAGGAUGUUUUCAUUAAUCAGGAACGAAAGUUAGGGGAUCGAAGACGAUCAGAUACCGUCGUAGUCUUAACCAUAAACUAUGCCGACUAGGGAUCGGACGAUGUAAAUAAUUGACUCGUUCGGCACCUUACGAGAAAUCAAAGUGUUUGGGCUCCAGGGGGAGUAUGGUCGCAAGGCUGAAACUUAAAGAAAUUGACGGAAGAGCACCACCAGGGGUGGAGCCUGCGGCUUAAUUUGACUCAACACGGGGAAACUCACCAGGUCCAGACACAAUGAGGAUUGACAGAUUGAGAGCUCUUUCUUGAUUUUGUGGGUGGUGGUGCAUGGCCGUUCUUAGUUGGUGGAGUGAUUUGUCUGCUUAAUUGCGAUAACGAACGAGACCUUAACCUGCUAAAUAGCCCGUAUUGCUUUGGCAGUACGCUGGCUUCUUAGAGGGACUAUCGGCUCAAGCCGAUGGAAGUUUGAGGCAAUAACAGGUCUGUGAUGCCCUUAGAUGUUCUGGGCCGCACGCGCGCUACACUGACGGAGCCAGCGAGUACUUCCUUGGCCGAAAGGCCCGGGUAAUCUUGUUAAACUCCGUCGUGCUGGGGAUAGA
rnacentral:rRNA from 1 species